CGCUACCAAGUCAAUUACUCUUCUAUUUACAAGUGUGGAGUGCCAAUGUGUGCAAGCAUGCUCUUAUAUUGAGACAAGACAAAAACUACUACUCCCACAGAAUCCCCAUCAAGAAUCGUAAAAGUUUAAAACUAACACCCCGUCACUCAAGUCCAACUAAAAGCCAAGGUCCCAAAGAAUGUCCACACCCUUCUAUUUUAUUCACUAUAUUUUUUUUUCUUUUUAUUGGUGAUUAAUUGCUCGGUCUAAGGUCAGAGCGCUUCGCAGUGUAAAUGCGUUACGAACACCACAAGACUUCACACACCAAUUAUUCACUCUAUUAUAGUGGUUUAUUUAACCGUGCAAUGGUUGAGAUCCCUAAAGAUUUAUGCACUAGUACCCAUGUAGCGAGCGUUGGGUCAACAAUCCCAAACCACAAAGGCUUUAGGUUGUUAGGCACAAAGUCCCCUCAGACUUAAUUACUCGAGUACUAAUGAGCUCAACCUAGUUAAUUC
rnacentral:lncRNA from 1 species